rnacentral:lncRNA from 1 species
AGAACAAAAUAAAAGAGAGGUAAUGGGCAGUAGGGAGAGAGAUCUUUCUCAAAGGGAAAGGGGAGGGAGAGAUAGAGGAGGGAGGGAAGGAGCCAGGGGAGGGAGAGGGAUGACAACGGCAGGUUUGUUACGUACAGUCCCUUCGCCACGGGAGGAGCGCAGUCACGAUGCACUGCAGACGUGGACGAAACGUGCAAACAGAGCGUCGCCCGGCAGGACUUUCAGACUUUCAGUUCCGUCCAGGAGGCCCUGUGCCGCUGGGGGGCGCUGUGGGAGUGAGGGCCCUAGAGGCCGGGUGCAGACGGAGUCCCUGGCCCUGGCCUGAUGGCCACAGUCCCGGUGUCUGUGGGGCCCAGCCGGGCGCCUCCGCUCCUCGGCCAGGCCUGCGGGGCAGAGGCCAGCGGCGUGCAGCGCUCCGGCCGCGCCCCGCCUCCCACCGCCUCUCCUCCGCGUGCCAGGGACCCGGCAUUCAACCCCCGCAGGAGGGCCCGGCUCCUCAGGCUGCGGUCACGGCUUACACCGGCUCCCGGAUGCUCAGUUUCCCCGAACGCAUGUCAGACGAGCACGCAAAACCCGGUGCAAAGAGCUAGAACUGCGUCACAGAAGUGGCUGCCUGCAGUGUGACGCGGGUUCGGGUUCGGGCUGAAGUUCGGGUUCGAGGUCAUCACAGAGCAGCAGCGGCCUGGCGAGUUUUAGUAAAUAGUCACAGGGCGCAGCUCAGAAACGAGGAGUGGCCCGAGCCCCCGUGGCCGCAGGACUGUUUGCGAGACUCGGCCUGUGUUCAGCUGGACCCCUGUCCCUGCCCAGCCACCA